UGUUGUUGACAGAAGAUAGAGAGCACUGACGAUGAAAUGCAUGAUGGGACUCUGCAUCUCACUCCUUUGUGCUCUCUAGUCUUCUGUCAUCAUCACC
rnacentral:pre_miRNA from 1 species